rnacentral:rRNA from 1 species
CAAAUGAAUCAAAACUUUCAACAACGGAUCUCUUGGUUCUGGCAUCGAUGAAGAACGCAGCGAAAUGCGAUAAGUAAUGUGAAUUGCAGAAUUCAGUGAAUCAUCGAAUCUUUGAACGCACAUUGCGCCCUCUGGUAUUCCGGAGGGCAUGCCUGU